rnacentral:rRNA from 1 species
AAUUUUGGACAAUGGGGGGAACCCUGAUCCAGCCAUCCCGCGAGUGCGAUGAAGGCCNNNGGGUUNUAAAGCACUUUUGGCAGNGAANAAACGGCCCGGGAUAAUACCCUGGGCUAAUGACGGUACCUGCAGAAUAAGCACCGGCUAACUACGUGCCAGCAGCCGCGGUAAUACGUAGGGUGCAAGCGUUAAUCGGAAUUACUGGGCGUAAAGCGUGCGCAGGCGGUUCGGAAAGAAAGGUGUGAAAUCCCAGGGCUUAACCUUGGAACUGCACUUUUAACUACCGAGCUAGAGUACGUCAGAGGGGGGUAGAAUUCCACGUGUAGCAGUGAAAUGCGUAGAGAUGUGGAGGAAUACCGAUGGCGAAGGCAGCCCCCUGGGAUGAUACUGACGCUCAUGCACGAAAGCGUGGGGAGCAAACAGG